AAAAGGAUGGUCGCCCAUAUUCAAGUUUAUAAUAGUGGCAACAAGUUUGACAUUUAGUACACUGCUCCACAACCAGAUUCACAGAACGUCAAUGUUUUUGUAGCCCAUAUCCUAAAUCAAUUGAAUUCUGGUGCUGACAAUAUCUAUUCAUUCAUCCACCUUUGUGCCCACUCGCCCACCUCUGUACUGCAGCAUAAAAUAAAGAAGUUAAAGAGAGAGAACAUCUGUCUGAGGCAGUGCAUUAGUGCAGGUGAAGAUCGUUUUCAGUUGCUGCUACUAUUAAAAAAACAUUAAUAGAGUUUAUUGCAGCCAGGAGAGUUGCACCAAGAGACUGUAAGAAAAGUGCUCUUCCCAAGUAAAAGAUUUAAUCUGACCAGUCAAACCAGCUGCUGACUCACAAUCAGAGCCAUAACAGGUGGAGAAUACAGAGACGCCCUGAAUUACUACCUAACUUUAUUUGUUUUUUUCCCCAUUUUCCAUUUAUUCAUUUACAUUAGAAUUUAUUAUUUUUUUUCAUUUUCCAUUGAUUAAUUUAAAUUAAUUGCUUGAUAAUAAUAAUAAUAAUAACAUAUAAUAAAUACAAUAUAUUCUAACUGAUUUUACCUCAGUUUAUAAUGGAUAGAAAAAU